rnacentral:tRNA from 1 species
GGCCGCCUGGCGAAAUGGCAUCGCGUCUGACUACGAUUCGUGUGUUAUCAGGAGAUUGCAGGUUCGACCCCUGCGGUGGUCA